AACAGAAUCUGGUCCGUUAUGACACAGAAGUGAAGGGCCUGCUCAAGCUCACAGGCCCAGUGAGAGAGUGAGCUGGGAGCUUUCUACCGUACUCUGUUACCUUCCUGGGUACACAUAAGCUCUAAAACAGAAGUGUAACUCUAGAGGAAGGAACAAAAUAUGAAUCCAAGAGUUCAGGUCUAUGUUUUGCAUCAUUAAUAUGCAAAUUACUUCAUAUAUUUAUAACAUAAAUUCUGUGUGUCCCAGUGAUGACAGCUAAUAAGAUACUCAUUACUGGUCCAAAACUGGAAAGAAAAUCCGUUGGCCCAGGUGAAGAAGUCCAGUGAAUGCGGGACCGAGGCCCUCUGGUGGAGGAACGGAGGAAGUCUCCGCCCCGAAGGAGGCCAGGCAGGAUGAGGCAACACCAGCCACUGGGUGCGUAUUCCCAAUUAAGCCUUUGAAGCAAAUACAAGUUUUUCUCAAACUGUUUCCAGUUUAUUCCUGGAGAGAGUUUAAGAUUCAGAAGCAAAUUCUUCCUCAAUCUGGGAAGCAUCUGCUUGUAAACAAAGAAGCCACAGUAACCACAGAGCUGAGAAGGCCUGAAGCUACAACCCAUUGCAAUGAAUGCGGCACCCAGAAGGGUGCCCGCCCCACCACAGAUCAAUCGGACAGCAAGAAGAGGUGAAACAGGCACAUCUUAAAGUGCCCAAAUGUAAAAGCAUGAUUCCCAGGAAAUCCUGUCUUCCAAACAUGUUUAAAUCACAUAAUCAUAAUUUUAUUCAACUAAUCGCUUCCACUGUUGCCAUGAGAGCAGAAAAGGAAAAAUGUUCAAGUACACGGAUAAUCAGAACAAAAAAAAGAGGAAGUUAACUUGCAAGAAUUCUAUUCCAAAUGCUAUGAGAUAACCCAAUUUGAGAGAGGCAAACAAAACCCACACGAUUGCUUUCAUAUCUUCAAACUGUUAGUUAAUUCUUAAAAUGUUGAGAUCAAUUAAACAUCUAAGAAGGAACUGUUGCUUAAAACUCCACUCAAAAUGAAGAUAAGAGAGCCAAGGAAUCUCCCAAUCUCCCUGUUUUGAGGGUUUCCACAAAUCCCUGACAUUAGGUCAUUUAUUCCAUUUCAACACCCUUGCCUGAGAGAGUGCAAUGAUGUCAGAAUUCAUUAUGGUAAACUAUUCUCAAAACAAAUGUUCCUGCCAGCAUUCACUCAGCGGGCACUCUGGCAAGCUGUCAGAACUUGGGGUUCAUCUCCUGCACUUUACUUCACAAGCUUCCUGAGCUGGGUGCAUUUCCUUCCACUUGGAAUCGUUCCCAACAGCUCGGCUGGGACCAAGGAGGAAAGGGCCUGCAGGUCCCCGGAGCACCAGCUGCUCGUUCCGCCUGACAGGCAAAGCUCUGCUUCCGCUCACCAACAUCACUGUCCUCAGCCCAUUAUGGAGAGCUCAGGCCAGAGUCCCACAGCCUUGCUCUCAUUCAAAUCCUUGUUUUUCCACUGGCAGGAAAGCCUACCACUUUUCAUGGGGACAUAGUCUACUCUUCCCUUGACCUACUUCCAUCUUUUCUUCUCUCCUAUCUUUUCUAUCUGGUUUUAUCCUCCUCCUGCUGAACCUCCUUCCAGGGCUUGUCUGCUGAUUCGCCAGCAUUCAACCCUCCCUCUCGACCCUCUGUCCUGGCGAUAGGUUCCAGUUCCCCCUUGGGCCCCAUGGCAGCACCUUUCCAGGCUCUGAAAUGUACAUUCUAACGUACAAGCUUACCGCACCUGGUUUCGUCCUGUUCUAUGACUCUGAACCACAUUCUCGGCUCUUUAAUAUUGCCAUCUGUCCCUCUGUGAUCAAACCAAGGAGGAAAUGUAAAUGGGAAGAAGGCCAGAGCUCCAAAAUCAAAAUGGAAAACCAAGGCUAGAGAAAUUUGGGGACAUGAGAAUCAUUUCAGCUUGUAAUGAGUGGCUACUUCAAUAAUAAGCUCAAUACAUUUUU
ensembl:lncRNA novel transcript, antisense to TTC7B